rnacentral:rRNA from 1 species
UAUCCUUAUUUGCCAGCGCGUUAUGGCGGGAACUCUAAGGAGACUGCCGGUGAUAAACCGGAGGAAGGUGGGGACGACGUCAAGUCAUCAUGGCCCUUACGGGAUGGGCUACACACGUGCUACAAUGGCAGGUACAGAGGGCAGCAAUACCGCGAGGUGGAGCGAAUCCCACAAAGCUUGUCGUAGUCCGGAUUGGAGUCUGCAACUCGACUCCAUGAAGUCGGAAUCGCUAGUAAUCGUAGAUCAGAAUGCUGCGGUGAAUACGUUC